AUCCAGACUCCUACGGGAGGCAGCAGUGGGGGAUAUUGCACAAUGGGGGGAACCCUGAUGCAGCGACGCCGCGUGGGUGAAGGAGCGUUUCGGCGCGUAAAGCCCUAUCGGCAGGGAAGAAGAUGACGGUACCUGACCAAGAAGCCCCGGCUAACUACGUGCCAGCAGCCGCGGUAAUACGUAGGGGGCAAGCGUUAUCCGGAAUCACUGGGUAUAAAGGGAGCGUAGACGGCUGUGCAAGCCUGAAGUGAAAGGCGGGGGCCCAACCCCUGGACUGCUUUGGGAACUGUACGGCUGGAGUGCAGGAGAGGUAAGUGGAAUUCCUAGUGUAGCGGUGAAAUGCGUAGAUAUUAGGAGGAACACCAGUGGCGAAGGCGGCUUACUGGACUGUAACUGACGUCGAGGCUCGAAAGCGUGGGGAGCAAACAGGAUUAGAUACCCUUGUAAAG
rnacentral:rRNA from 1 species